UUCCAGUCUCACAGAAUGAGUUGGGAAGCAUCUGCUGCUUUUAUCUUCUGAAAGAGAUUGUAGAGAAUUGGUAACCUGGAUCCCAAAAUGAGAACAGAAGAACCACUUCAUGUGACUUGAACCAGAUCUGAAAUCUGAAGUGAAGCCCAGAAGAGUGUAGCUGAAGACAAGUGAACCUACUUGACCAGCAAACGCACAUGUCAAAGGGCCCCCUGGCUACUAAGGAAGAUGAAUGAAGAAAGGGCCCAUACAUGGACACCUACUUCAUAGUAAAAUCUGAGGACAUGAAGUAUAAAGAGGACAUUCUGAACACUUCAAGAGACAGCACCCUUAGCUAGGCAUGCAGGAUAUAAAAAUGAAAAACCAGUUGCCCUAGUUGCCUCUAGUGAUGAUACAGGAAAUUGUCUUGUUACCACGAUGGAAGCUAAUGUGAGUCUGCAUGCAGAGAAAAGCAGAGUGAACCGAACCUCA
rnacentral:lncRNA from 10 species